GACGAACGCUGGCGGCGUGCUUAACACAUGCAAGUCGAACGGAAAGGCCCUGCUUUGGUGGGGUGCUCGAGUGGCGAACGGGUGAGUAACACGUGAGUAACCUGCCCUUGACUUUGGGAUAACUUCAGGAAACUUGGGCUAAUACCGGAUAGGAGCUCCUGCUGCAUGGUGGGGGUGGGAAAGUUUCGGCGGUUGGGGAUGGACUCGCGGCUUAUCAGCUUGUUGGUGGGGUAGUGGCUUACCAAGGCUUUGACGGGUAGCCGGCCUGAGAGGGUGACCGGCCACAUUGGGACUGAGAUGCGGCCCAGACUCCUACGGGAGGCAGCAGUGGGGAAUAUUGCACAAUGGGCGGAAGCCUGAUGCAGCCACGCCGCGUGCGGGAUGACGGCCUUCGGGUUGUAAACCGCUUUCGCCUGUGACGAAGCGUGAGUGACGGUAAUGGGUAAAGAAGCACCGGCUAACUACGUG
rnacentral:rRNA from 1 species